rnacentral:rRNA from 1 species
UACGUAGGUGGCAAGCGUUGUCCGGAAUUAUUGGGCGUAAAGCGCGCGCAGGCGGUCCUUUUAAGUCUGAUGUGAAAGCCCACGGCUCAACCGUGGAGGGUCAUUGGAAACUGGGGGGACUUGAGUACAGAAGAGAAGAGUGGAAUUCCACGUGUAGCGGUGAAAUGCGUAGAGAUGUGGAGGAACACCAGUGGCGAAGGCGACUCUUUGGUCUGUAACUGACGCUGAGGCGCGAAAAGCGUGGGGGAGCAAACAGG